GGAAUAUUCGUCAAUGGACGAAAGUCUGAACCAGCCAAGUAGCGUGCAGGAUGACGGCCCCAUGGGUUGUAAACUGCUUUUAUACAGGGAUAAAGUGAGGGAUGUGUCCCUUUUUGUAGGUACUGUAUGAAUAAGGACCGGCUAAUUCCGUGCCAGCAGCCGCGGUAAUACGGAAGGUCCGGGCGUUAUCCGGAUUUAUUGGGUUUAAAGGGAGCGCAGGCCGACUGGUAAGCGUGACGUGAAAUGUAGCCGCUCAACGGCUGAACUGCGUCGCGAACUGGUUAUCUUGAGUGAGUUCGAUGUUGGCGGAAUUCGUGGUGUAGCGGUGAAAUGCUUAGAUAUCACGAAGAACUCCGAUUGCGAAGGCAGCCAACAAGGCCUUUACUGACGCUAAAGCUCGAAGGUGCGGGUAUCGAACA
rnacentral:rRNA from 1 species